rnacentral:rRNA from 1 species
CGUACACUCCUGCGGGAGGCAGCAGUGGGGAAUAUUGGACAAUGGGCGCAAGCCUGAUCCAGCCAUGCCGCGUGAGUGAUGAAGGCCCUAGGGUUGUAAAGCUCUUUCACCGGAGAAGAUAAUGACGGUAUCCGGAGAAGAAGCCCCGGCUAACUUCGUGCCAGCAGCCGCGGUAAUACGAAGGGGGCUAGCGUUGUUCGGAAUUACUGGGCGUAAAGCGCACGUAGGCGGAUCGAUCAGUCAGGGGUGAAAUCCCAGGGCUCAACCCUGGAACUGCCUUUGAUACUGUCGAUCUGGAGUAUGGAAGAGGUGAGUGGAAUUCCGAGUGUAGAGGUGAAAUUCGUAGAUAUUCGGAGGAACACCAGUGGCGAAGGCGGCUCACUGGUCCAUUACUGACGCUGAGGUGCGAAAGCGUGGGGAGCAAACAGGAUUAGAAACCCCGGUAGUCCC